AACGCGAAGAACCUUACCUGGGCUCGAAAUGUAGAGGACGUUGUAAGAGAUUACAAUUCCCGUAAGGGUCUCUAUAUAGGUGCUGCAUGGCUGUCGUCAGCUCGUGCCGUGAGGUGUUUGGUUAAGUCCAGCAACGAGCGCAACCCUUAUCGUUAGUUGCCAGCGCGUAAUGGCGGGAACUCUAACGAGACUGCCUAGGUUAACUAGGAGGAAGGUGAGGAUGACGUCAAGUCCGCAUGGCCUUUAUGUCCAGGGCUACACACGUGCUACAAUGGUCGGUACAGAAGGCAGCGAAGCCGCGAGGUGGAGCAAAUCCUAUAAAACCGAUCUCAGUUCAGAUUGUAGUCUGCAACUCGGCUACAUGAAGUUGGAAUUGCUAGUAAUGGCGUGUCAGCAACAACGCCGUGAAUACGUUCCCGGGCCUUGUA
rnacentral:rRNA from 1 species